rnacentral:rRNA from 1 species
GAUGAACGCUGGCGGCGUGCCUAAUACAUGCAAGUCGAGCGAACAGACUAGGAGCUUGCUCCUCUGACGUUAGCGGCGGACGGGUGAGUAACACGUGGAUAACCUACCUAUAAGACUGGGAUAACUUCGGGAAACCGUAGCUAAUACCGGAUAAUAUAUUGAACCGCAUGGUUCAAUAGUGAAAGACGGUUUUGCUGUCACUUAUAGAUGGAUCCGCUCCGCAUUAGCUAGUUGGUAAGGUAACGGCUUACCAAGGCGACGAUGCGUAGCCGACCUGAGAGGGUGAUCGGCCACACUGGAACUGAGACACGGUCCAGACUCCUACGGGAGGCAGAAGAAGGGAAUCUUCCGAAAUGGGCGAAAGCCUGACGGAGAAACGCCGCGUGAGUGAUGAAGGUCUUCGGAUCGUAAAACUCUGUUAUUAGGGAAGAACAAAUGUGUAAGUAACUAUGCACGUCUUGACGGUACCUAAUCAGAAAGCCACGGCUAACUACGUG